rnacentral:lncRNA from 1 species
UGCAACCUUGAUAAUUCUCUGUUUGGCAUUACUCACAGAUGCUCAGGAUGGGAGCAUCUACAGAGGAAGAAUUAUUCCAGAUCUACUCAAAUACAGACCAAGAAUACUAAUCCUACUUCACCCUUCCACUCUGCUGCUGGUAAUGCUAAGAAGAAAAACCUUCUUGCAUGUGUAUGCUAAAUCACAGAGAAACUCUGGCACCUGGCUCCCUGCUUUUACAGUGCAUGGAUGAGCUAUGGAAGAACUGGCUGUCACCACUGUAAGCCCUUCCCUGGAUGAGCAUUAGAUGUGUCCAAGCGUUGUCAACUGCUGCCGGCCCCUGGAAGAGGAGCUGCAGGCCUGCAGCCAUGGCAGGAUGCCUAGGAUAUUCUCUGGGGUAAGGAGCUUAAAGCAUGGCUGAUGUGAGGGGGUUUUAUGCACAGAACAUGUGAGUUCUGAUGGACUCCACAAAGUCAGCACUAUAAUUUGGGAUGAGUACAUCUGCACUGAGUCCUGGGGGAAAAUGUGAAAGCCAAAAAAACUGGAAGGUGGCAACUCCAACCAUGGGUUUCUGAAAGGUUUAAGUAAUUCUGCACCCAUUUACAGCCAAUCCUGGGUGCUGAUGUUCAGUUUCUGUUCUUCAAUUCAGAUGGGGCUCGGGUAGAGCUCUUAGGACAAACUAAAGCCAGGCUGCUUUUGAGUGCACAUAGCACUUAUUCAGUCCAGGGAGAGGCAUGCCUCUGCAUAAAAAUUGAAUUUUUCUGAUGAAAAAUGAAAUCUUAACUACCAACCUAUGGCAAAUAAUUCCUCUUCUGCUACCAAUCAUGCAAAGAGCUCUCAAGAUAGUCUGGUGUCAGAGUGAUUAAAUGUAGUUGAAAUGCUUGUGGAGCAAAGAGACUAGUUAGCAGAUUUGUUGCCAAAUCAGAUACUUCUUGAUUAAACACUAGAACAAAAAGUCAACAUUUCCUCUUUCCAAUAGGGAUUCUGUCUUGUCCAGUCAACGUUAAGAUGAAAAAUGUGCCCAAGAGUGUUGAGUUAUACUUUAACAAAUGGUGUCUUUUGAAAUCCCAUUUACACAGGAGGUGUGAUCCCACCAGAACUCCUCCAUCACCUUAGAGAAAGCCAGGAAAGCAGAUGAGUUGAGAUUGCUGCUGGAGGAUAUGGUUUCUAUUAGUGUUUUCCUCAGAGGAGAAUGUAUAAAUAACUCACUCAUGGACUGGUACAAUCUGUCGGGGGGGGCAGCAGUUAUAUAA